UCGCGGCCUAUCAGCUUGUUGGUGAGGUAAUGGCUCACCAAGGCGACGACGGGUAGCCGGCCUGAGAGGGUGACCGGCCACACUGGGACUGAGACACGGCCCAGACUCCUACGGGAGGCAGCAGUGGGGAAUAUUGCACAAUGGGCGCAAGCCUGAUGCAGCGACGCCGCGUGAGGGAUGACGGCCUUCGGGUUGUAAACCUCUUUCAGUAGGGAAGAAGCGAAAGUGACGGUACCUGCAGAAGAAGCGCCGGCUAACUACGUGCCAGCAGCCGCGGUAAUACGUAGGGCGCAAGCGUUAUCCGGAAUUAUUGGGCGUAAAGAGCUCGUAGGCGGUUUGUCGCGUCUGCCGUGAAAGUCCGGGGCUCAACUCCGGAUCUGCGGUGGGUACGGGCAGACUAGAGUGAUGUAGGGGAGACUGGAAUUCCUGGUGUAGCGGUGAAAUGCGCAGAUAUCAGGAGGAACACCGAUGGCGAAGGCAGGUCUCUGGGCAUUAACUGACGCUGAGGAGCGAAAGCAUGGGGAGCGAACAGGAUUAGAUACCCUGGUAGUCCAUGCCGUAAACGUUGGGCACUAGGUGUGGGGGACAUUCCACGUUUUCCGCGCCGUAGCUAACGCAUUAAGUGCCCCGCCUGGGGAGUACGGCCGCAAGGCUAAAACUCAAAGGAAUUGACGGGGGCCCGCACAAGCGGCGGAGCAUGCGGAUUAAUUCGAUGCAACGCGAAGAACCUUACCAAGGCUUGACAUGAACCGGAAAGACCUGGAAACAGGUGCCCCGCUUGCGGUCGGUUUACAGGUGGUGCAUGGUUGUCGUCAGCUCGUGUCGUGAGAUGUUGGGUUAAGUCCCGCAACGAGCGCAACCCUCGUUCUAUGUUGCCAGCACGUGAUGGUGGGGACUCAUAGGAGACUGCCGGGGCCAACUCGGAGGAAAGUGGGACGACGUCAAAUCAUCAUGCCCCUUAUGUCUUGUGCUUCACGCAUGCUACAAUGGCCGGUACAAAGGGUUGCGAUACUGUGAG
rnacentral:rRNA from 1 species